rnacentral:misc_RNA from 1 species
UACAAUAAUGGCUUGAAUACUCAUCCUCGGGCCUCUUUGAUAAUGCAUCUGCAACAUUAUUCUCAAUGCCCUUCCGACACAAAAUUUUAUAGUCCAAACCUAGCAACUUAGAAAUACCCCUUUGUUGUAAAUUAGUAUGCAACCUUUGCUCCAAAAGGUACUUAAAGCUCUCGUGGUUAGUUUUAAUGAAAAAUUGACCUUGCUCAAGGUAAUGUCUCCACUUCCCAACAACAAAAAUAAUGGCCAAAAGUUUCUUCUCAUAAAUUGAUAAGGCUUG